AAUACUGAAUACUUUUAUUUAUUAAGCACUGCUAAGCACAAGGAAUUUUCAGCAUGCCAAGAAGGGCAAAGUGAAAAUUACAAUAACUCUCCUAACUAAAACAAGGUCAAUCUUAGUAUAAAAAGCAUAACUAAUCGGCCAGAUUUUGCAUUUUUAGUUCCAUAUUUGCAUUUAGCUUUCACAUAGUACUUUUUAUUUUCAAAAUAGUUUAAAACAUUUAUUAAUCCUCACAACACCCCUGUGAGGUAGGCAAAUUUAUCUUAUAGCUGGAGAAAUUGAGGCAGAGUUAAGUAACAUGCCCAAGGCCACCAAGGCAGUAAGUGAAGUUGUAUUUAAAAUCCAGAAGCUAUGGUCCUUCUCCCCCAUUAAUGCAUUUCAUCAGAGAAGUUACAUAAAGGACCAAAACCAGGUACUCUUAGCCCACAACAACUAAGAAGAGGAUGACAACAAUAACAACAAAGGAACAGCUUAAAUGCUAUCAUGGAUAUUUAAGAAAGUUAGAAAACAUUUUACUAGAAACAACAGUUAGGCAACAGAACAUAUAGAAAUAGAUUGUGGAAUCACCAGCACUGGAAAUAUGAGACAGAUUAAGCAUUCAUCAGGAAUGGUUUAGGAAAAUGUAAACAAACCUGCUACAAAUGCAGGGAAAGUAAACUAGCCAACUCAUAAAAGGUUUAUUCCUAACCCCAAAUGACUAUGCUUUUAAAGGAAAGAAUGGUUAGAAAAAGUUAAAAAGAAAAAAAUCAAACUGAACUCAAUGUAACUUCAAACCAGUAAACAUACUAAUAGUCAUUCACAUUAUAAACAUCAAAACCAAUUUUAAUUUGUGACCAAACUAAUAUGGUUUCUAUAUACUGAUUUUCAACCAAAUCUACCAAAUAUUUUCUUAUUAAAUCAAACUAUAAGUUGGGGAAUCAAGCACCAGGCAGUUCGAUAACAUAAACCAUAUAGCUAGCUCAAUGACUAAACCCAAAUCUAGGCUCUGUAAUUCCCAAUGUCAAUUUUGUGCUUACAUAUUUUAUAAGUACAUAUUUAAAUCAAUUAUCCAAAUUCCAUCUAUGUGUUUCAAGAGCAGAGGUGUACCUUAUUUAUUUAUUUUUGCAAAGGAACUGGUGUGCUUGGUGCAAUAUAUCACUUUAAAGUGAUUUAAAGAUAUUUAAAACUGAACCUGUAUUUUAAAGCC
rnacentral:lncRNA from 1 species